CGUCUUCUGGAUUUUUCUGUUUGUUUCCGCCGGUCUCUCACACAUCUCAAUUCUAUUGUUCUGCAACUCACCCUUUCUCGCUAUCCCUUUUUGCCACCGCUCCGAUUCCGCCUGUGUUGACAGCCUUCAAACUAUAGAAAUCAUCAUUGAUCAAGCUUCUAUUUCAACUGUGGCCUGUUAAUUUUUGUCUUCAUCUGGCUGAUUCCAGCUGUGUUCGCACCCUUCAAAACCUAAAUACCAAAAUUCAGAUCAGUUUUCUGAAGCUUGGGUUUGAUUUUGUUCCGCUUCGUUCUGCUCCUCGCCUUCCUGUUUAUUUGCCAAGAAAUAUUGAAUGUACCCAUAACUUGCCUUCCUCUUUCGGUUUCCAACUUUAAAUUUUAAGACCAAGUCCCUCACCGGACGAGGAUCUAGAUCCGACCGACAAACGUUGGAGUAUUUAACAGAUAGGCAACUAGCUUUCAGAUAUAAGGAGAGGAAACUAAGGUAUCCAAAUUACCUAGAAACAGAGGUCUAACGGUUUCAAACCCAAGAACAGAAGCAACUCUGUGUGCAUCACCCACCCAAGAACAGAAGCAGCUAUGUGGGCAUCACCUUGGAAACUGUGGGUGGCAUCUGUGCAGCCAUCAAAUCGUUUAUAAACAACCAGAAGACUAUCCAAAACAUGCUUUUAUCUGAGUGUAAUACACGUGUUGCUCAUCGUGGAAGGGAAGAAACAUGGAAAAGCGGGCUCUUCCAUUUGCUUCCACAGAUUUCUCGAGCUCUCUCUCAAGCUCCGAAUCGCUGGCCUCCGCAAGAAGGAAAUCGCCAAUUCGAAAGCUUGGUUUCCUGCUUUCUCACUAGAGAUCUCUGCCAUGGCUGCUCCACCAAACUUGCGUCCGCUCUUUCGAACCAGCAUACCCUUACUGGAAUUUUAUGAUUUGGGAUAGUGGCGAUUUGAAACCGUUAACUGGGAUGAGAAUUAGAGUGAUUUGAAAACGGAGAGCAAGGAAUUGCAGGUGGUGUUCUGGUUUGUCAUUCCUUCUCAUCACUUCUACAAGAGGUUACGUAGGAGAGGAUGGAGGUGAGAAAUACAAUUGGGAAAGAUAUGCUGAGAGGUUUACAAAACACCUUUGACGCUGUCGGUUUUGUACAAGAGCAGAUGUGACAAUUGCCUUUAUGAGAUCACUGAAAGGGCAUCUGCUGAUAGAUGUGAGGAGAAGAAAAUGGAGCUAAACAGGGCAGUUGUCAAGAUGGAGCAAGAAGGUGAUGUUGAUGCGCACUUCAGGAUCGUGUUGAUCACAUGCAAUUAGAUCUUGAUGGGCUUGUGAAAACUCUCAAUGAGCACUGCAAGAAGUAUGGACUACGCAGAAAGCCUACAACAUUAACUGAGCUUCCCUUUGAAGGAGCUGCUGACUGGGAUGAGGAUUGGGAUAAGUUUGAAGACAAAUGUAUGCCAAAAAUGAGUUACUAUAGUUUCUUUGUCGUCUGGUUGUGGUUUGCCAACCUGUUCAAGAGUUUUAACUAUUCGAGAAAUCAUCAUCAGUUCAGAAAGAAAAAGCUCCCCCAGUUGAGAGUUCAACAACAGCUUCUUCACCUAAAGUUGAUGUUCAGUCAGAAAAGCCUCAAAAUGCGGAUGACAAGGCCGUUGAAAAUGGAGCAGCAUAUGAUAAAAAUGAAGGCAAGUCAGCAAAAGGUGCUCCGAACAGUCCAUUUGCUAGCAGUACUGUUGGAAGGCCAUCUAGAGAAUUUUCAGAUUCUAACUAUGCAAAGACAACAGACGCAGAUGCCUCACCCAGUAAUAAGGAAUCUCAAAGUGAUGAUCAUGCGGGUGCUGGGUCUAUGUUUUCUGGUGACAAAGGUUCCGAUGAACCAGCAUGGGGGACAUUUGACAAUAAUGAUGACGUUGACUCGGUGUGGGGUUUCAGUGCAGUUAGUACCACCAAGGAUAUGGAUCAGGAGUCACUACUUUUCUGGCCCUGGGGAGUUCGGCCUCAACCCUAUCAGGACUGGGUCAUCACAAGGAGGUGGCUUUUCCCAGAAGAGCCGCCCUUUCACUUUCGACGAUUCUGUUCCUAGCACACCACUCUCAGCCUUCAAUUCAGGGUAUUCACCGCCAAGGUACAAGGAUAGCUCAGAACCUUCAUUUGACACCUUCUCUAGGUUUGAUUCGUUCAGAAUCACACAAGAUACUGGAUUUUUUCCUCAACUAGAGGCACUCGGAAGAUUUGAUUCUAUGCGCAGCAGUAGAGAUUUUGAUCAGGGUCAUGCUUUUCCAACAUUUGAUGACAUCCCAGACCCUUUUGGCUCUUCGGUGCCAUUUAGGUCAUCGCUGGACAAUCAAACUCCAAGAAGAGACUCAGACCCCUUCGGAUCUUCAGGUCCAUUUCGGACGUCACUGGACAGUCAAACUCCGUGAAGAGAAUCAGAUUUUUUCGGGUCUUCAGCAAGCGCCAUUUAGGACAUCAUUUGACAGUCAAACUUCAAGAGGAGACUCAGACGCAUUUGGGUCCUCUCCAUUUAGGACAUCAUUCGACGGUCGAACUCCAAGAAGAGACUCGGACCCAUUUGGGUCUUCUUCAGGGCCUUUCCGGACGUCAUUGGAGACUCAGAGAAAAGACUCUAAUCAUUGGAGUGCAUUUUAGCCAGGUAGUUGCUCUGCUUAUAGCUAAUCCCAAGUGGGAAAUGAAUAAUUAUCAUUCGAGUUAAUUUGUAAAACUCCAUCUAAAUUACAAAAUGAUUACAAAAACUGGGGCAGAGUGUAACAAAUUAAUUAUAAUUGCUAAAAUGUAAAAAUGCUACGAAACUGAGGACUGGGCAGCAAAUUGUUGAAUUAUCAAAAGUAGUGUAAGAAAUGGUAAAAGAGGUCCCAUGAGCAAGGACUGGGAGAAACCAAAGCAGAAGCCGGCCCAGGGCUAUUGGCCAUCCCCAUCCAAUUAUUAAGCAUUGGGCUGCUUAUGACGUCAUGCUGAUGUUGAUGUGAGAAGAACCCACUUGGGACCGCCGGCAGAGACGCUGGCGCCGGAGACAAUAUGCCCGGUGUUAGGGUAAAAUUGGCAAUCCCUGACAAAAUGCCUGAGUCUGUAAUAGCUUAGACUUGUUACAUAUUUACAAUUGUAAUAGUUUUAGUCUAGGGAGGUUUCUCACACUUUCAAUGCGAAGAUGUUACCAAAACGCGAUACUCAUUCAGGUACGUUUGCAUGCAUGCAUCCAACUACAUUCAUCUAUAUCCAUAUGUUAUUGUAUUUGGGUUAGGACUUUUAUUCUUGUGUGUUUUACUUUUCUAGAAUGAAUUAUCCUGUCUUUCAAACCGUGUCAUCAAACUGAUUUUUCAAAAUAUGUUUUCAAACUUAUCUGUUUGCAUGAAGAGUUAUCUGAUUGCAUGUUGGUAGAAUUGUUAAACUACAUGGAUUGCUUUGUAGUACUUAUCAGAUAAAGGGCCGGUACUGUUGAUAUAUAUAUGGGAAGUCAGGAACGUGAAGGGUUGAGCCAUAUAUGCAUGAAAAACUGAUUUUAUUGAAAAAGAAUCUUUAGAAACAUCAGCUUGGGUUUUGUGUGCAUGGAAAAUCAAUUUAAAUAUUGAUGUUAGCUUGUGGUUCGAAUAGCAUGAGGUUUUAAGAGAAAAUAUUGUUUUCAUGCUGAUUUCAUUUGGGUUUUAAAUUGAAUAUCAAUUAUGGAAAUGUGCCUUGUGAUUUUCGUAAUUGAUUGUUUUUCAAACAAACACUUCAUCAUAUAAUCAUUCUGCAUGAUCGAGUUAGUAUCUUGCAAAGUUCGAGGAAAAGGUGAUUGACGGCUGCGUUAGUGCCGUGCCACUUCAACUCGAAGACUGACGAAAGAUCGAGUAGCAAAGCGCGAAGACAAAGCUGCCAACUAGUAUGUGUGUCUAGUUGAAGAGUUCUUCGCCGUGCAGCCUUGAGCUCGAACAUUACAUAGCACUGGGAGUUCUAGCAAAGAUUGAAGCCACUUGCAGCCGACUAAUUCGAGUGUAGACAACCGAGAAGCCUGUUUGAUGCUUGCAGGAGAAAAAAAUGGAGCUACACAGGGCAGUGAUGGAGCAAGAAGGUGAUGCUGAUGCGCACUUCAGAUCUUGAUGGGCUUGUCAAAACUCUCAAUGAGCACUGCAAGAAGUAUGAACUACGCAGAAAGCCUACAACGUUAACUGAGCUGCCCUUUUGAUUCACUUUUGUCAAGGAGCUCACUCUUGACGUGUCAAAUGUCUUGGCACCUCCAAAACAGAAAUAAUCAUCAGUUCAGAAAGAAAAAGCUCCCCCAGUUGAGAGUCCAACAACUGCUUCUUCACUAGCCUCAAAGUACGGAUGCCAAGGUUGUUGAAAAUGGAGCAGCAUAUGAUAAAAAUGAGGAUGAGUCAGCAAAAAGUGCUCCGAACAGUCCAUUUGCCAGCAGUACCGUUGGAAGCCCAUCUAGAGAAUUUUCAGAUUCUAACUAUGGAAAGACAACAGACGCAGAUCCCUCACCCCGUAAUAAGGAAUCUCAAAGGUUCUGAUGAACCAGCAUGGGGGACAUUUGACACUAAUGAUGACGUUGACUCGUUGUGGGGUUUCAAUGCAGUUAGUACCACCAAGGAUAUGGAUCAGGAGAGUAAUAAGGAUCACUACUUUUCUGGCCCUGGGGAGUUCGGCCUCAACCCUAUCAGGACUGGGUCAUCACAAGGAGGUGGCUUUUCCCAGAAGAGCUACCCUUUUACUUUCGACGUUUCUGUUCCUAGCACACCACUCUCAUCCUUCAAUUUGGGGUAUUCACCGCCAAGGUACAAGGAUAGCUCAGAACCUUCAUUUGACACCUUCUCUAGGUUUGAUUAGUUCACAAGCACACAAGAUACUGGAUUUUUCCCUCAACCAGAAACACUCGGAAGAUUUGAUUCUAUGCGCAGCAGUCGAGAUUUUGAUCAGGGUAAUGGUUUUCCAACAUUUGAUGACAUCCCAGACCCUUUUGGCUCUUCGGCGCCAUUUAGGUCAUUGCUGGACAGUCAAACUCCAAGAAGAGACUCAGACCCCUUCGGAUCUUCAGGUCCAUUUCGGACGUCACUGGACAGUCGAACUCCAAGAAGAGAAUCAGAUUUUUUCAGGUCUUCAGCAGCGCCAUGUAGGACAUCAUUGACAGUCAAACUUCAAGAGGAGACUCGGACGCAUUUGGAUCCUCUCCAUUUAGGACAUCAUUCAACGGUCAAACUCCAAGAAGAGACUCGGACCCAUUUGGGUCUUCAGGGCCUUUCCGGACGUCAUUGGAGACUCCGAGAAAAGACUGAUCAUUGGAGUGCAUUUUAGCCAGCGCUGUGCAGCCUUGAGCUCAAACAUGACAUAGCACUGGGAGCUCUGGCAAAGAUUGAAGUUGCUUGCAGCCGACUAAGUUGAGUUCAGACAACCGAGAAGCUCAUUUGAUGCUUGCAGGUAUGCUCCUGAUCUUGGUUCCAGACAGAUGUAUGCUUGUCAAUGAGGUUGAGCAAACGAGACCAUCAGGGAUUUCCAACAUACCGCUGCUGCUGAGAUCUAGUUCUUCUAAAGAGAGAAAACCGGCAUAGGUGAAAGGCAAAUUUUCAAGUUCCCGACAUCCAUACAAGUCGAGACGUUUAAGAUUGGUUAAACGGUAGAUACUUGUUGGGACUACCUUAAGGUGCUUGCAGUCACUAAGGUCUAAAGUUUGAAGCCCAAUUAGAUUUCCAAAUGACGAAGGAAGCUUUUGUACAGCUGUCCUUUGCAAAUUAAGAGACACCAAAUGUUCUAUUGGCUCCAAGAUCUCUGGGAAAUGUUCAAGUUCAGAGCACCCAAAGAGAUUGAGUUCCUUGAGAUAUUUCAACUUCCAAAUGUAGAUUGGUAGACUCACAAGACUGCUGCAACGAACCAAUGAUAAUUUAGUUGUAUCCCUCGGAAGCUCAGAAAACUCGCAAAGAGAUAUGCAACCAUAUCGAUCAAAACAACCAGAGACUUUCAACUUACAACUGUUGCUUGGAAGUUUCUCAAGGUAAAGAGCAAAAACGUAUAUUCAAGUAAGAAAUGUUUUUGUUAGACCACACUGAUUCAGGCAAUUCUUUUAUACCAGCGUAAUGUAAAUCCAAGUAUUUAAUAUUUCCUAGCAUCUCUGGAAGAUACUUGAGGUUGGUGCAGCCUUUAAGAUCAAGAUGAGUAAGCUUGUCAAGAUGUUGAAAACACUCAGGAAUUUCAACCAAAAUUUCACAGCCACAGA